UAAAUUUCAGGCAUGUCGGCACCCUUUGGUUCUAAGUUUCUAACUCCUAAAACACCAUAUUGAUCAUCAACAGGACGACGAGUAAUGGAUUUUGUACAAAGAAGCUGUAAAAUAUUUGCUUUGAUGGAAGGCCAAUUUAUGUACUGUGCUCAAUAGAAUAAGAUGAAGUCAAUUCUCUCAUAACAAGACUACGAUUUUGUAUAACAACAUGUUGUUUCUCUUCCUGAACUAUACGAUGAUAUAGAUAACACAUCGAAUAAGCA